GACGAACGCUGGCGGCGUGCUUAAUACAUGCAAGUCAACUGAACUUGAGGUAGCAAUAUCACAAGAGAGGUGGCACGCGGGUGAGUAACACGUAGGUAAUCUGCCUUUAGGUCUGACAUAAUUCCGCGAAAGCGGGACUAAUAUCAGAUGAUGCAGCGGCUCGACAUCGAGACAGUUGUUAAACCUUCGGGCCGUAAAGAAUGAGCCUGCGUCNGAUUAGGUAGUUGGCGGAGUAAAAGACCCACCAAGCCUGCGAUCAGUAGCUGGUCUGAGAGGAUGAUCAGCCACACUGGAACUGAGACACGGUCCAGACUCCUACGGGAGGCAGCAGUAAGGAAUAUUGCUCAAUGGCCGAAAGGCUGAAGCAGCAACGCCGCGUGGAGGAUGAAAUUACUUUUGUAUGUAAACUACCUGUAAGAAAGGGAAAAUAAUCCCGAUUUAUCGGG
rnacentral:rRNA from 1 species